CUCUUGUAGCACUAAAGUGCUUAUAGUGCAGGUAGUGUUCACUAAUCUACUGCAUUAUAAGCACUUAAAGUACUGCUAG
rnacentral:pre_miRNA from 7 species